AAAUAAAUUAAUAAGUGCAAAUGGCGGAUGCCUAGGCACCAGAAGCCGAUGAAGGUCGUAGGAGGCUGCGAAAAGCCUCGGGGAGCCGCCAACCAGGCUUCGAUCCGAGGAUUACCGAAUGGGGAAACCCGGCUGGAGUAAUGUCCAGUCAUUUCUCUCUGAAUAAAUAGGAGAGUCAAAGGUAACGAGGGGAAGUGAAACAUCUCAGUACCCUCAGGAAGAGAAAACAACCGUGAUUCCGUUAGUAGUGGCGAGCGAAAGCGGAAGAGGCUAAACCAAUCAUGUGCCAAGCCGGCAGGCGUUGCAUGAUCGGUGUCGUGGGACUAAAUGAAAUUAACUGCCGUUAAUUUAACAAGUCAGAAAAUAGUGAAAUAGAUGAAGGACGUGGGAAAGUCCGGCAUAGAAGGUGAGACCCCUGUAGUCGAAAUUUCAUUAUCUUGUUUUUAGUAUCCCAAGUAAUACCGGACUCGUGUAAUCCGGUAUGAAUCUGGCGGGACCACCCGCUAAGCCUAAAUACUCUCUGGUGACCGAUAGUGAACAAGUACCGUGAGGGAAAGGUGAAAAGAACCCCGCAAGGGGAGUGAAAUAGAAUCUGAAACCGUUUGCAUACAAACCGUUGGAGCUGCCUUGUGCAGUGACAGCGUGCCUUUUGAAGAAUGAGUCUACGAGUUAGUGUGAUGUGGCAAGGUUAACCCGUCGAGGGGAAGCCGUAGCGAAAGCGAGUCUGAAUAGGGCGAAUAAGUCGCAUCAUCUAAACCCGAAGCGAGGUGAUCUCGCCAUGACCAGGUUGAAGCGCGGGUAAGACCGCGUGGAGGACCGAACCCACUAAAGUUGAAAAUUUAGGGGAUGAGUUGUGGCUAGGGGUGAAAGACCAAUCAAACUUCGUGAUAGCUGGUUCUCUCCGAAAUGCAUUUAGGUGCAGCGUCACGUGUUUCUUACUGGAGGUAGAGCUACUGGAUGGCCGAGGGGUCCUACAAGAUU
rnacentral:rRNA from 1 species